UAUUGAGAGUUUGAUCCUGGCUCAGGAUUAACGCUGGCGGCAUGCCUAAGACAUGCAAGUCGAACGGAACACCCCACUGAAACUUGAAUGAAGUUAGAGAGCUUGCUCGAAGAUGGAAUGACGGUGGACGUGGAUUCUGUGUUCAGUGGCGAACGGGUGAGUAACACGUGGGUUACCUGCCUCUAAGUUGGGGACAACAGUUGGAAACGACUGCUAAUACCGAAUGUGAUAGUAAUAUUAAAGGAGCCUUUAAAGCUUCGCUUAGAGAUGGGCCUGCGGCGUAUUAGCUAGUUGGUGGGGUAACGGCCUACCAAGGCGACGAUGCGUAGCCGGACUGAGAG
rnacentral:rRNA from 2 species